rnacentral:rRNA from 1 species
AACGAACGCUGGCGGCAGGCUUAACACAUGCAAGUCGAACGCCCCGCAAGGGGAGUGGCAGACGGGUGAGUAACGCGUGGGAACAUACCCUUUUCUACGGAAUAGCUCUGGGAAACUGGAAUUAAUACCGUAUACGCCCUACGGGGGAAAGAUUUAUCGGGGAAGGAUUGGCCCGCGUUGGAUUAGCUAGUUGGUGGGGUAAAGGCCUACCAAGGCGACGAUCCAUAGCUGGUCUGAGAGGAUGAUCAGCCACAUUGGGACUGAGACACGGCCCAAACUCCUACGGGAGGCAGCAGUGGGGAAUAUUGGACAAUGGGCGCAAGCCUGAUCCAGCCAUGCCGCGUGAGUGACGAAGGCCUUAGGGUUGUAAAGCUCUUUCACCGAUGAAGAUAAUGACGGUAGUCGGAGAAGAAGCCCCGGCUAACUUCGUG